AGUGGUACCUCUGUAGCUGCCCUGACUCACUGUGCCAUCAAAAAUCUCCUUCAAUCAAACCAGCCUCUGAAUGCACUCGACAAGGUCCUGCAUGUUGAAGCCUGCAAUCUGCAAAUCUGCACCAUCUUUCUAAAGCUGCCUGCUGCUUACAUUUUGAGAGGAGGAUGAGGUUAAUUAUCGGAGGUGGAAAAUAAAUAUCACAGAGCAGCUGGACAUGGGGGAGCUUGCAGCGUCAGCAAAUCAUGGACACUCACCCUGCUACCCAGAGAGAAAAGGGACCCCUGGAGACUUGAGCAAAAGAAAAAUGCUGGUACAUUUUUACCCCAGGAGGCACAGCCACCCCAGAGCCACACAGCAAUGGAUACUUAAGAAUAAGACACAAGAAGGUAGCCACCUGCAAACCAAAAGGAGAGUCCUUUCCAGACCCUGGAUCUGCUGGCACCCAGAUCUUGGACUUCCAGCCUCCAGAACCAUGAGAAAUUGAAGAUCAUUGCUUUAGCCACUCAGUGUAUGCUGUUUUAUUAUAGAAUCCCAAGUGGACAGAGGCAGGGAGGAAUAUUAUCCUGUUUCUCCAAUGGUUGUCAUUAAAGACCCAUCAAGCCUGCUGUGUGCCUCAGAGCCAGAUUCCAAAAUGCCCUCAAGUUGACUUCAAGUUUUCUGCCCACAGCUCUGUAGCCAAUUUGGGGCACGUGUACCGUCCACACCAUUCCAUGCCCUGGAAGUUGGCAUGGAAAACAAAAAUUGCAUAAUCUCCCUCAUACGUGGAAUCUAAAAAAGUCAAACUCAUAGAAAUAGAGAGUAGAAUGGUGGGUGCCAGAGGAUGGGGGCAUGCAGUGUAUGUUGGUCAAAGGGUACAAAGUUUCAGUUAGACAGGAAGGAUAAGUUCUGGUGAUCUAUUGCAUAACAAGGUGAGUGUAUUUGUUUGUUCUGGCAUUGCUAUAAAGAACUAUGUGAGACUGGGUAAUUUAUAAAGAAAAGAGGUGUAAUUGGCUCAUGGUUCUGCAGGCUGUACAGGAGGCAUGGCUGGGGAGGCCUCAGGAAACAUACAAUCAUGACAGAAGAUGAAGGGGAAGCAAGCAUAUCUUACCAUGGUGAUGGAGGAGAGAAAGAAGGAGUGAGUGGGGAGAUGCCACACACUUUUAAACCAUCAGAUCUCAUGAGAACUCCCUGACUAUCACAAGAGGAGCAAGAAGGAAGUCCACUCCCACGAUUUAAUCACCUCUCACCAGGCCCCUCCUCCAACACUGGGGAUUACAAUUUGACAUGAUAUUUGGGUGGAGACACAGAGCCAAACCAUAUCAGUGACUGUAGUUAAUAAUAUAUCGUAUAUUUUUAAAUUGCUCUAAAAAUUGAAUUUCAAAUGUUCUCACCAUAAAGACAUGACAAAUAUGUGAAGUGAUGAUUAUUUUAAUUAGCCUGAUUUGUUAAUGCCACAAUGUAUAAAUGUAUAAAAAUCACGUUUUAACCCAUAAAUACAUGUAAUUGUUAUUUGUCAAUUAAAAAUAAAAAUAAAUUGAAAACUAAAAAUAGUAAAGGGAGUUCCCUCCAUGAAGGAUCAAUGAGUACAUGCCAUAGAUUUAAUUUUGACAGCAAGAAACAAGAAGGUUGCAACAGUCCAAACAUUGUGUGAUAAAUGGUUGCUCUUAAAAAUAUUUUUAUAGUUUGCCUCAAUAAGCUAAGACAUAAGUUAUAAUCUAUUAGGUAGGAGUAUAUUCAUUCAGUGGCUUACUGUUAUACUCAUAAACAGCUUCAUCCUACUUACCCAAGGUUAGUUUUCAUGAAGACUGAUCAUCUGAAUAAAUUUGGUUGCAAAUACUAAUUAUUGAAAUUAAUGGAUACCUACUGUGGAUGUCUAUUGUUCUAAGUAUUCAACACAUAUUCAAGUGGGUUUCAUCAAUGACUAAAGCAAGGCUCUAUUAACCUAUUUACAACCAAGAUGGCAGCCCAGUGUGAGACUCAUGAUGGUGGCCCACUGUGAGACUUCUCUCCCCAGCCUCUGGUAACCAUCAUUCUACACUGUAUCUCCGUGAGAUCCACUUUUUUGAGUUCCCACACAGGAGUGAGAAUAUGCACUGUCUUCCAGUGGCUGGCUUACUUCACUUAACAUCAUGACCUCCAGUUUCAUCUAUGUUUGAACAGUUUUAAUCAACAUGAAAUUCACAAGAAAGCAAAAGAGUGGAAACAGGACUGCAGUCAAUUGCCUUGAUCAGAACCUGAUCAAGAACUAGUCACCACUUUGGAAAACACCAUCUAUGGAAAUCCUCCUGCUGCUAUUUGAGUUGCCAACACAACACACCAGUGUUGGCAGUUCUGGUAUCUAUCUCAAUGAUUACAUCUAGAGCAAACCUGUGGGUCUUUUGUUCCAUCCCUACCUUAUCAUUUACCUAUUAAAAUGCCAUGGUGUUUUAAAAUAAGAGUUGCUUUCCUGUUACAUUUCUGUUUUACAUUGCAGUUACAG
rnacentral:lncRNA from 1 species